AGUUUUGCAUCUACCUGUUGUGUUUAUGCAUGACUGAAUCUGUCGUCCAAAAGAAUGUGCCAAGUUUUUCCAUUUGGCACCUGUUGCAUUUUCUCUCUGAUUUUCACAGCUGGACUUUACUCCAGCAUGAAGUGUAGUUACUCUGCUCAAGAGCGUAACACUAGGCUCUUACAUCAAGAGUCUAGUGGUUUGGGGACUGCACAGCACUUGCUCAGCUGGACAGUGUGACAUUUUGUUCUUUUGAAUCUGAACUUUCACCGAUUAAACCUCGCAAUUUAGUUGGUUUUACGGCGCAACGCACCGCUUCAUUACGCUGUCCUCACAGGGGACUUUAGUCAAAGAACAGAAUAGAAUGGGCUUGAAGAAAUUUAAAGAAGGACACUUACCAGAUUUCGCUCGCAGAAAAGCAAAGUUCUUCACCUGGAAACAAAAGGCUGGAAACCCAGCAGCACCCAGGAGAGGGCCAACCGUGCUACUGGAGAGAGUCGUGGAGAGGUGACCAUGAGAAGUGAUCACAAUGAAGGUCCACCAGCUAAUCUGCGCCGCAGAGCCACUGCUGCUCCACUGAGGGAGUCUUUGGAAUUCAGGAGAUGAAGAUCCCUUAAAGAUG